rnacentral:rRNA from 1 species
UACCAGACUCCUACGGGAGGCAGCAGUGGGGAAUAUUGCACAAUGGGGGAAACCCUGAUGCAGCGACGCCGCGUGAGUGAAGAAGUAUUUCGGUAUGUAAAGCUCUAUCAGCAGGAACGAGACAAGACGGUACCUGACUAAGAAGCCCCGGCUAACUACGUGCCAGCAGCCGCGGUAAUACGUAGGGGGCAAGCGUUAUCCGGAAUCACUGGGUGUAAAGGGAGCGUAGACGGCUGUGCAAGCCUGAAGUGAAAGGCGGGGGCCCAACCCCUGGACUGCUUUGGGAACUGUAUGGCUGGAGUGCAGGAGAGGUAAGUGGAAUUCCUAGUGUAGCGGUGAAAUGCGUAGAUAUCGAGAGGAACACUCGUGGCGAAGGCGGGUUCCUGGACAUUAACUGACGCUGAGGCACGAAGGCCAGGGGAGCGAAAGGGAUUAGAUACCCGUGUAC